UUCGGGAGGGGCCUGCGUCUGAUUAGCUAGUUGGUGAGGUAAAAGCUCACCAAGGCGACGAUCAGUAGCUGGUUCGAGAGGAUGACCAGCCACACUGGGACUGAGAUACGGCCCAGACUCCUACGGGAGGCAGCAGUGAGGAAUCUUCCACAAUGGGCGCAAGCCUGAUGGAGCAAUACCGCGUGCAGGAAGACGCUUUUCGGAGUGUAAACUGCUUUUGUCGUCGAAGAUUAUGACUGUAGACGAAGAAUAAGGACCGGCUAACUACGUG
rnacentral:rRNA from 1 species